AAGUCGUAACAAGGUUUCCGUAGGUGAACCUGCGGAAGGAUCAUUAUCACGUUUUAAUCCACGUAUCAACCACUGUGAACUAGUAUUUGACCUUUGAAUUGGGAAGGUAGUGUUGUUAUUAAACCGUUAUUCAAACAACAAAGAUUGGAAGUUGUUGAGGUUUAGUACAAUCAAACAGUUUUGUUUACUUUCUGAUUCAGAGUGUAUUUUUUCCAAUCAAUUAUUUUCAUUAACCAUUUAAACCAAAAUUUUUCUAAAUUUUGAACUGAUUUAAUUUCUUACUCUUUAAAUGGAGAAGAAAUAAAUGAUUACGAAACAUAAGAACAACUCUUAGCAACGGAUAUCUUGGUUCUC
rnacentral:misc_RNA from 1 species